rnacentral:rRNA from 1 species
UACAGAGACUGCAAGCGUUAUUCGGAUUCACUGGGCGUAAAGGGUGCGCAGGCGGUUGGGUGUGUCAGAUGUGAAAUCCCGAGGCUUAACCUCGGAACUGCGUCUGAAACUACUCGACUAGAGUAUUGGAGAGGGUAACGGAAUUCACGGUGUAGCAGUGAAAUGCGUAGAUAUCGGGAGGAACACCAGUGGCGAAGGCGACUACCUGGCCUGUUCUUGACGCUGAGGCGCGAAAGCUAGGGGAGCAAACGGG